CUCCUGGGGGGAGGGGAGGCAGAAACAACACAUCAGAGAGUGUGGCUGAUUUGGGGGUGCUGCUAUUAGCUUCCUCCCAUAGGUGACCCAUGCAGGCCCCUCUCCCAUUUGAGAUUCUUACUUGCAUAUAUAUAUAUAUAUAUAUAUGGAGGGAGAGAGAGAGGGAGAGUGUUAUAUUAUAAAUAUAAAUAAAUAAUAUUUAUUGUUAAAUAUAUAUAAUUUUUAUAUAUUUAUACAUAUAAAUUUAAAGACAGAAAUAAAUUAACUAUCUGUCCCUAUGGGUUAGAACAAAUUGUUUAAUCAGUAGGUCUAUAAAUAUUAAUAUGCAACAAGCAAUCUCCACACAUUAAGCCUCCAUAUCCAUGGGUCCUACAGCCAGAGAUUCAACUGAUUGUGGAUCGAAAAUAUUUGGGGAGGCCAGGCAAGUGCGUUAGCCUGAGUUUGGGUACCCAGAAUUCACGUAAAGAUGGGUAUCUAUAUGCCUCUAAAUACCAACGUUCCUAUGCAAAUUGUGCAGAGAUAGGAGUUCUGUGGAAGCUACUGACCAGCUAGCUUGGUACCUGCAGCAGAGAAACAGAAAGACUCUGCCUCAAACAAGGUGGAGGAUAAGGAAUGAUACAUGAGGCCCUCCUCUGAUCUCCACCCACACACAACAUUCUCUCUCUCUCUCUCUCUCUCUCUCUCUCUCUCUCUCUCUCUUUCUCUCUCUCUCUUUCUCUGUAGGAAAAUUUGUAUGUGCUAAAUACAUACAGAUGCUUCUUUGUAUACAGUAUUGACACUGUAUUAUGUACUAUAAACUAGUCACCUAAAGAUACUAAAUAUGAUUUGAAGAUUACACAAGUGUAGGAUGCGACCCAGAUACUAUACCAUUUUCCAUAAGAGACUUCAACAUCCAUAGAGUUUGGUAUUGUGGGGACUUACACUGAGGAUGGCCCUAUGCUUUAUAAUGAAGAAAGGCCAUACGGCACCUUAUCUCAGGAGGGAGACUCAGGACUCUGGUAAUUGUAGUUAGUGCCGGGAGAGUGAACUGUACGUGGGUGGGGAGAACUAGGCAACCAGGAAUAAAUGAGAAUUACAUUUGAUUGUAUAAUCUUUUACGCUGCUUGAAAUUUUUAAUGUGUGUAUUAUGUAUUCAAAAAUACAAAGUAAGCCGUGGAGUAUUAUCCUGGCCAAAAAUAUUUCUUCAAAUAUAUUAAAAUCGUUUUUUUUUGAGGAGCAAAAGGCUUGUUUUUGCAAGAAUAGCAACUGUUGUAGAAAUGAGUUCUGCCAUCUUCUAUGGGGGGAGCCCACAUCUGAAUUGCAUCCUUUGUGUGGGGCUGCACAAAGCACAGACUCUCCUGGCUGGAAGCAACCUCAGUCAGAGCCAAGCAAUGCAAGGGUCUUACUUUUCUGGCUCUGCUUGGGACUUCAAAGGAUGAAGGUAGGUACUCUGCCGUGUCCCCAGUAUCUCUCCUUCCAGCCUGGAUGGAGAACACCCCAGAUUCCCAGUUGCUGCUUUCCCCCCUGAAGGUCCUGCUUUGUCUUUAGAGCAGUAUUUCUUGUUGCUGGCUGCAGGCUUGUGAACAGCACAGGAAGAUGUAACUCUUUCUUUCUUCCUUUCUGGUUCUUUCUUUGUUAGUUUGUUUCAUUUACUUUCACACCUUUAUUUAAAUAAAGAUAACCUAGGGUUCUAUCUUAAACCAAUUAAUUAAAAAUAUUUUGGGCUGGGUCUGUUUUAAAGCUCAUGUUUAAGGUUCACAGGGAAUCAGAAUGAGGCUGACAAGGAAGCAGAGUUUCCCCAGGUCUACGUCCCUCCAACAGACCACAUCAUCAUCUCCCAAAGCACACUUCUCUGGGACACAGAUUCACCAUUCCCAGCCUCCUUCCUACCUUCCGUCGCCGCCGACUGUCCUCACAGCUUUCGAGCGACUACUCUGUCACCAGCUUUUCUUUUCUUUCCUCUAGAAAUGCUUCCUCACAGUCAACCUUGGGCCUUGUCAUCGAAACUGCCAUGACUGAAAUGUUUCACCCUGAGUCCCACAUCCUGGAUGUGUGGGACUCAAAUCCAUGGCAGCAACCUUAGACACACUGGGAAGAGGCUAGGCCGAGACAGUAACCGUGAACGUGAAGGCCCAGAACAACACAGUUGUCACCAGAAGCUACAAGAUGGGCACAGAGCAGUGUUUCUUCACCGCAUGUGUAGGGGACCAACUCAGGAAAUUAGGUACAAAAAAAAAAAGAGAGAGAGAGAGAACCCGCCUAAGGUACUGAAAAGCCGAAGCAGGCACAGAAACCCCAGCACUCCCGUUCAGUGGCCUCCGUCUCGGCACCUCCAGGCUAGGAGCCUCAUUAAAGCUAGGCGAGACAAAGAUGCCCACUAACACAAUUAAUAUUUAACAUUGCUCUAUAAUUUAUGGACAACUCAAUUAAAACUUUAAUAAAUGGAGAGAUGGGAACUCGUAAUGUUAGCGAGACAUCAAUUCUUCUCAAAUGAAUCUAUAAGUCAAGUGUAAUUCCAACCCAAAUCCCAAAAGGACUUAAAAAUUGAAUUUGACAAAAUAAUUAUAAAGUUUCUAUUGGAUUAAUAAAUUAAUGAAAGGAGCCAGUUCAUUUUAUUAGAAGUAAGAAUGAUAGAGGCAGAAAGUUGCCACAUCCCAUAUGAAUGCAUGUAUGAAAGCUGUCGUAAUUAAAACAGUGUGGCUGUGGCUUGGGAGCAGAUGGAUGAAGUGUGAAUAAAAUCAGGUCAGAAAUAUGCAGCUGUGCUUGUGGAAAAGCAGCCUAAAACUUUGAUUCAAUAACCCUUUCUUUCCUUCUUUCUUCUUGCUAUUUUCCUCACCUCUAUUCUUACUGUAGCCUCUCCCCCUCUCUCCCUCUCUCUCUCCUUCCCUCCCUCUCCCCCUCUCUCUCUCCCUCUCUCUUUCCCUCUCUCCCUUCCUCCCUCCCUCUCUCCACUCCCUCUCUUCCUCUCCCCUUCUCUCCUUCCUCUCUCCUCCCUCUCUCUUUCUCCCUCUCUCCCUCUCUUCUUUUUUCCCCAGUUGGGAAUCAAAACCAUUGUCUUGGGCAUACUAGGCAAGUACUCUACCACUGAGUUACAUUCCUAACCCCAGGGGUAAUGUUUCUAAUUACUUGAAAAAUUUGGAGUGAUUCGGUAUUUUGGUAAAUAUCAGUUAAUCCUUUGUGGGGUGGUGGGCUUAGAUUUCUUUGUUCACUGCUUACCUCAGUAUCAAGUCAAAAUGAGCAAACUAAUUCACUGUUAAGAAGAAAACAAUGGGUCCAUUGAAAUGGCUCACUGGGUAAGGGGCUUGCUGCCAAGCCUGAGGACCUGAGUUCAAUUCUCAGAACCUACAUGAUGGAAGGAGAACACUUACUCCCUCAAGUCACCUUCUGACCUCCACCUGUAGCAUGGAUCUCCUCCUCAAUAAAUAACACACACACACACACACACACACACACACACACACACACACACACACACACCAGAAGAGGGUAUAGGAU